AUGAGCUGUGAGGAGAUGAGCCGCCGCCCCCCGCUCCCGCCGGCGGCGGCCCCGCCGCUGGAGGACGACAACCUCCUCUCGGAGAUCCUCCUCCGCCUCCCGCCAGAUCCGUCCUCCCUCCCUCGCGCCUCCCUUGUCUCCAAGCGCUGGCUUGGAAUCGUCUCCGACCCCGGCUUCUCCCGCCGCUUCCGCCUCCACCACCGCCACAACCCACCUCUCCUCGGGUUCUUCUACCACGUCUCGGACUUCGAACCUGCAAUGGAUCCCCCCAAUCGUGUCCCGGAUUCCCACCUCUCUUCGUGCCUCGAGACCCUCGACGACGACCGCAUCUGGUGA
rnacentral:rRNA from 1 species